AGCGGAUGAAGGGAGCUUGCUCCUGGAUUCAGCGGCGGACGGGUGAGUAAUGCCUAGGAAUCUGCCUGGUAGUGGGGGAUAACGUCCGGAAACGGGCGCUAAUACCGCAUACGUCCUGAGGGAGAAAGUGGGGGAUCUUCGGACCUCACGCUAUCAGAUGAGCCUAGGUCGGAUUAGCUAGUUGGUGGGGUAAAGGCCUACCAAGGCGACGAUCCGUAACUGGUCUGAGAGGAUGAUCAGUCACACUGGAACUGAGACACGGUCCAGACUCCUACGGGAGGCAGCAGUGGGGAAUAUUGGACAAUGGGCGAAAGCCUGAUCCAGCCAUGCCGCGUGUGUGAAGAAGGUCUUCGGAUUGUAAAGCACUUUAAGUUGGGAGGAAGGGCAGUAAGUUAAUACCUUGCUGUUUUGACGUUACCAACAGAAUAAGCACCGGCUAACUUCGUGCCAGCAGCCGCGGUAAUACGAAGGGUGCAAGCGUUAAUCGGAAUUACUGGGCGUAAAGCGCGCGUAGGUGGUUCAGCAAGUUGGAUGUGAAAUCCCCGGGCUCAACCUGGGAACUGCAUCCAAAACUACUGAGCUAGAGUACGGUAGAGGGUGGUGGAAUUUCCUGUGUAGCGGUGAAAUGCGUAGAUAUAGGAAGGAACACCAGUGGCGAAGGCGACCACCUGGACUGAUACUGACACUGAGGUGCGAAAGCGUGGGGAGCAAACAGGAUUAGAU
rnacentral:rRNA from 1 species